rnacentral:rRNA from 1 species
UACGGAGGGUGCGAGCGUUGUCCGGAAUCACUGGGCGUAAAGGGCGCGUAGGCGGCUUGGUAAGUAGGGGGUGAAAUCCUGCGGCUUAACCGCAGGGCUGCCUUCUAAACUGCCAGGCUCGAGCACAGUAGAGGCAGGUGGAAUUCCCGGUGUAGCGGUGGAAUGCGUAGAGAUCGGGAAGAACAUCGGUGGCGAAGGCGGCCUGCUGGGCUGUUGCUGACGUGAGGCGCGACAGCGUGGGGAGCGAUCGG